rnacentral:rRNA from 1 species
CAACUCUCAACAACGGAUAUCUUGGCUCCCGUAUCGAUGAAGAACGCAGCGAAAUGCGAUACGUAGUGUGAAUUGCAGAAUUCCGCGAACCAUCGAAUCUUUGAACGCAAAUUGCGCCCAAGGCUUCGGCCCAGGGCAUGUCUGCCUCAGCGUCGGCUU